rnacentral:rRNA from 1 species
GAUGAACGCUGGCGGCGUGCCUAAUACAUGCAAGUCGAGCGAACAGACGAGGAGCUUGCUCCUCUGACGUUAGCGGCGGACGGGUGAGUAACACGUGGAUAACCCACCUAUAAGACUGGGAUAACUUAGGGAAACCGGAGCUAAUACCAGAUAACAUGUUGAACCGCAUGGUUCAACAGUGAAAGACGGUCUUGCUGUCACUUCUCGAUGGAUCGGGGCCGCAUUGCCUGGUGGGUAAGGUAACGGCUUACCAAGGCAACGAUGCGUAGCUGACCGGAGAGAGGGACCGGCCCAACGGGAACGGAGACACGGUCCAGACUCCUACGGGAGGAAGCAGUAGGGAAUCUGCCGCAAUGGGCGAAAGCCUGACGGAGCAACGCCGCGUGAGUGAGGAAGGUCUUCGGUUGGUAAGACUCGUUUAGUAGGGAAGAACAAAUUGGGAAGAAACGAUGCACGUCGUGACGGUACCUAAUCAGAAAGCAACGGCUAACUACGUG